GGGGUAUCAAAAAUCAGCUCAUUUUCAUCAGAUCUGAAGAAAAACGAAAUGGGGUUGUUGAAAAAACGGCAAUAAAUCAGUGAAAAGUUUGAAUUUUUGGCCACAACCCAGAAAAGUAAAAAUGGGAAUGUGUGAGAUCUGAAAAAGCUCACUGUGUGACUGUGUGAAGAUCUAGAAAAGGUUGAAGAUGAAGAAGAAGAAGAAUUCGAAGAGCAAGUUGAGUCUGAAAUUGAAGAACUUGAGC
rnacentral:misc_RNA from 1 species